rnacentral:rRNA from 1 species
GUCCAGACUCCUACGGGAGGCAGCAGUGAGGAAUAUUGGUCAAUGGGCGGAAGCCUGAACCAGCCAAGUCGCGUGAGGGAAGAAGGCCCUGCGGGUCGCAGACCUCUUUGGACGGGGAGCAAGGCCGCCGACGUGUCGGCGGAAGGAGAGUACCCGUAGAACAAGCAUCGGCUGACUCCGUGCCAGCAGCCGCGGUAAUACGGAGGAUGCGAGCGUUAUCCGGAUUUAUUGGGUUUAAAGGGUGCGUAGGCGGAAUGCCAAGUCAGCGGUAAAAUCGCGGGGCUCAACCUCGCUCCGCCGUUGAAACUGGCGUUCUUGAGUGGGCGAGAAGUAUGCGGAAUGCGUGGUGUAGCGGUGAAAUGCAUAGAUAUCACGAAGAACUCCGAUUGCGAAGGCAGCUCACUGGACUGCAACUGACACUGAUGCUCGAAAGUGUGGGUAUCAAACAGGAUUAGAUACCCUCGUA